UGUUAAGUGGAAAAGGAUGUGGGGUUGCUUAGACAACCAGGAUGUUGGCUUAGAAGCAGCCACCAUUGAAAGAGUGCGUAAUAGCUCACUGGUCGAGUGACCCCGCGCCGAAAAUGUACCGGGGCUAAACAUAUUACCGAAACUGUGGAUGAACCUCUUUAGAGGUUCGUGGUAGGAGAGCGUUCUAAGGGCGGUGAAGUCAGACCGGAAGGACUGGUGGAGCGCUUAGAAGUGAGAAUGCCGGUAUGAGUAGCGAAAGAAGGGUGAGAAUCCCUUCCACCGAAUAUCUAAGGUUUCCUGAGGAAGGCUCGUCCGCUCAGGGUUAGUCGGGACCUAAGCCGAGGCCGAUAGGCGUAGGCGAUGGACAACAGGUAGAGAUUCCUGUACCAGUGCUAAUUGUUUAACCGAUGGGGUGACACAGAAGGAUAGGGAAUCGCACGAAUGGAAAUGUGCGUCCAAGCAGUGAGUG
rnacentral:rRNA from 1 species